UACGUAGGGCGCAAGCGUUGUCCGGAAUUAUUGGGCGUAAAGAGCUCGUAGGCGGUCUGUCGCGUCUGCCGUGAAAACCCGAGGCUUAACCUCGGGCCUGCGGUGGAUACGGGCAGACUAGAGGUAGGUAGGGGAGAAUGGAAUUCCCGGUAUAGCGGUGAAAUGCGCAGAUAUCGGGAGGAACACCGGUGGCGAAGGCGGUUCUCUGGGCCUUACCUGACGCUGAGGAGCGAAAGCGUGGGGAGCGAACAGG
rnacentral:rRNA from 1 species